CUGCACACACGCUUACAGGCAAACAUGUCACAGCCUAGAGCCACACUUUGACAAGACUAUUGUUACGAUUGCCCCCGGUCUAGCAGGAGAGUUGAUCGCUUGGAUGUCCUGGUUCCCGCAGUAGAGAGUCGAACGGAGUUCCUUCGGUAAAAAGCUGCAAGUGUAGAGUCUCCCACAAAUGAUAUAAGCAUUAAUAUCCCGGAUCCCUACAACAUGAGUCGAG